rnacentral:rRNA from 1 species
AACGAACGCUGGCGGCAGGCCUAACUCAUGCAAGUCGAGCGAGGACUUCGGUUCUAGCGGCGGACGGGUGAGUAACGCGUGGGAAUGUGCCCUUCUCUACGGAAUAGCCCUGGGAAACUGGGAGUAAUACCGUAUACGCCCUAUUGGGGAAAGAUUUAUCGGAGAAGGAUCAGCCCGCGUUGGAUUAGGUAGUUGGUGGGGUAAUGGCCUACCAAGCCGACGAUCCAUAGCUGGUUUGAGAGGAUGAUCAGCCACACUGGGACUGAGACACGGCCCAGACUCCUACGGGAGGCAGCAGUGGGGAAUCUUAGACAAUGGGGGCAACCCUGAUCUAGCCAUGCCGCGUGAGUGAUGAAGGCCUUAGGGUUGUAAAGCUCUUUCAGCUGGGAAGAUAAUGACGGUACCAGCAGAAGAAGCCCCGGCUAACUCCGUG